GACGAACGCUGGCGGCGUGCCUAACACAUGCAAGUCGAACGGACCAACGUUCAACACUCUGCGUUUAGCGAUGGAGUGUUGAGGCCAGCGCAUACCGAUUUGCGCAGCAAAUCGGUUACGCAUUAAAAAGUGCCAACACCCGAAGGUAAACCCGGAGUGUUGAACGUUGGUUAGUGGCGAACGGGUGAGUAACGCGUAGACAACCUACCUUCUAGUUGGGGAUAACACCGCGAAAGCGGUGCUAAUACCGAAUGUGGUGCUUAAGCCGCAUGGAUUAAGCAUUAAAGGUGGCCUCUGCAAGCAAGCUACCGCUAGAAGAUGGGUCUGCGUCUGAUUAGCUAGUUGGUGAGGUAACGGCUCACCAAGGCGACGAUCAGUAGCCGGUCUGAGAGGAUGAACGGCCACACUGGGACUGAGACACGGCCCAGACUCCGUACGGGAGGCAGCAGGUGGGGAAUCUUCCGCAUGGACGAAGUCUGACGGAGCAACGCCGCGU
rnacentral:rRNA from 1 species